AUUGAAACUCAUACAGUUAGCCUUGGCCCAUCAAUCCAGUCUAUCCAACUCCCUCUGUAAAGUAAGAGUAAGAGGUUCUAACCUCAGCUCUCAGCUGAGACUUGUACCUUUUGCUAAGAGAGAAGGUGGAAAUUCUAUUCAUUUUGAUCUUAUACGUAUUGCUAUGAAUGCAAGUAUCUCCUUUGUGUAUAAUUAAGAUAAAAAAUGGUGCUUCCUUGUCAUGUUUGUGGUCUUCAAUUUAGGGCUGCACUCCUGAAAGCAGUAGUAUGCAAAAAACUUUUGUGCUUAUUCAGAGUACUAUUGUGUGAGGGGGCUUCCCAAGAGGGAAUGGCUGCUGGGUCAGGGCAAACAUGAAAUCCUGAAGUAGCUGUUUUCCACACAGCCAUGGAGAACAUUUAUGCUUAGGUUUAAAACACUGUUGCAGUGCGGUAGAUUGAAACUCUUCCUAUAGCAGUUUAAAUUAUUGGAGGUCACUCUCAUUUAUUCAGUAUGUACCCAGAGUCUGCUGACAAGCCUACUGGUUUCUAGCAGGAGACUGAAGAAGACCUACAGUCAAAUCAAUUGUGCAAGCCAUUAAGCUCAUGCAACAUUUAAAACACAUAGAUUUUUAUGGAAGUGUAGAAAAUCUUUAAAUUUAUUCUGAGCACUGUUAUUCCUGAUGUCCACUUACAUGUGGAAUUGUGACCUCUUCCAAAACAUUCAUUUUCAUAGAAUCUAGAGUUGUUUGAGUUGGAAGGGACUCUCAAAGGUCACUUGGUCCAACUUCCUGGCAAUGAAAAGGGACACCUGCAGCUCUAUCAGGUUGCUCCGAGCCCCGUCCAGCCUGACCUUGAGUGUAUCCAGGAACAAUGCAUCUACCACACCUCUGAGCAACCUGUGCCAGUGCCUCACCACCCUUAUCAUAAAAAAUGCCUUCCUUAAAUCCAGUCUAAAUCUUCCCUCUUUUAGUUUGAAUACAUUUCCCCUUAUCCUAUCACAAAAGACUCUGCUAGUGUCUUUCCCCUUCUUUCUUAUAGCCCCUCUUUACAUAGCGAAAGGCUCCUACCGUAUUUCCCCAAUUUUCAGGCCGUACAGUUGUAGAACACCUAAGCAAUACCCCUUAUCAUUUUCUUUUUCAUGAAGAGUAUCUAAAAAUAGAGAAAAAGCACAUAAAGAGCAUCAUUUAUUUUCUCUAUUAUUAUUUGUCAUUCUCAUCAGAACAUCUUGCCUCUGCUAUCCAUCUGUCACAGAUUCCUUGAUUUGACGUUCUGGCUCUGGUUUUGGCAACAGUAACAAAAGUGGCUUUGAGAACACACAGUUGAAGAUCAGGAGCUUGAGUUUAUCUAGCUCUGUUUUGGCUUCAGAGCAGUCUAGCGGUCAGUCCACAACGAUGGAAUAUAUUUCUAGUCCUACUGAUAUCACUAAGAUAAUCUAGAUAGCAUCUUUUAAGACUGUGCUUUCAGCCAUUCUGUGAGAUGGCUACAGGGAAAAAAAAAAAAAAAGAAAGAAAAAAGAGUAGGUAGGUGGAAAAAAAAAAGAAGUAUGUGGUUUGUUCAUCCUGCAGUCAAUGCUACUGCAGCAUUGAGACAAGCUGCAUCAACACUUACCCAGAGAGCAUGUGGACAAGCACAGGGAUAGCUUACUCAGCAGUGAUCUCUGUAACACUAAUUGAUAAUUUUGGAAAAAGGAUGGGAACUAACUUUGGGAAGGUGUGUGAGUAGGAAGUAACUUUGUCAUGGCAGUCAUAGAAAAUUAGCAUUGCAGACAGGAGUACUGUAGGGCUUUUUACAAUUUAUUGUGGUUAAGUCUCUUUGUAUAUGACCUGAAUGGACAAAAAGAUGAAUUAUUUUGAUAGGACUGUUAGUAAAUGCAGGAGUACUAAUGCUGCAAAGAAUGAAUUCUGUCAAAAAUUAAUAGGCACAAUUUGUGCAUAUUGUGAUCAGACAGAGGCUAAAACAUGUCAGGAAAGUCCUGGAAAAGAAUGAUGGCAGCCCCUGCCUUACAGGUUUGGUUGAGCCAGAUGAGGACAGAUAGGAAGGGGGCAUUGGAAGUCCACGUUCUAUGAUGUUUCAAUACUUAAGAUGAAAUUUACAUUUUUUUAUGUGUUAAGUCAGAAUUGUACAGUUAACUUCUGUUUUGUGGGCCUUAACUGCUUUAUAUUCCUUUCUUCAGACCAAGCCAAUGGAAAUCUCAUUUCAAAGCUGAAUAAAAUGUUUGCAAAC
ensembl:lncRNA